UACGUAGGGAGCAAGCGUUGUCCGGAAUCAUUGGGCGUAAAGCGCGCGUAGGUGGCCCCAUAAGUCCGCUGUGAAAGUCAAAGGCUCAACCUUUGAAAGCCGGUGGAUACUGUGGGACUAGAGUACGGAAGAGGCGAGUGGAAUUCCUGGUGUAGCGGUGGAAUGCGCAGAUAUCAGGAGGAACACCAAUAGCGAAGGCAGCUCGCUGGGACGUUACUGACACUGAGGCGCGAAAGCGUGGGGAGCGAUCCGG
rnacentral:rRNA from 1 species